UACGAAGGUCCCGAGCGUUAUCCGGAUUUAUUGGGUUUAAAGGGUGCGUAGGCGGGUUAUUAAGUCAGUGGUGAAAGCCUUCAGCUUAACUGAAGAAUUGCCAUUGAUACUGAUGAUCUUGAGUAUGAUUGAGGUGGGCGGAAUGUGUCAUGUAGCGGUGAAAUGCUUAGAUAUGACACAGAGCACCGAUUGCGAAGGCAGCUCACUAAGCCAUAACUGACGCUGAUGCACGAAAGCGUGGGGAGCAAACAGGA
rnacentral:rRNA from 1 species